rnacentral:rRNA from 1 species
AACGCUAGCUACAGGCUUAACACAUGCAAGUCGAGGGGCAGCAUGGUCUUAGCUUGCUAAGGCCGAUGGCGACCGGCGCACGGGUGAGUAACACGUAUCCAACCUGCCGUCUACUCUUGGACAGCCUUCUGAAAGGAAGAUUAAUACAAGAUGGCAUCAUGAGUCCGCAUGUUCACAUGAUUAAAGGUAUUCCGGUAGACGAUGGGGAUGCGUUCCAUUAGAUAGUAGGCGGGGUAACGGCCCACCUAGUCUUCGAUGGAUAGGGGUUCUGAGAGGAAGGUCCCCCACAUUGGAACUGAGACACGGUCCAAACUCCUACGGGAGGCAGCAGUGAGGAAUAUUGGUCAAUGGGCGAGAGCCUGAACCAGCCAAGUAGCGUGAAGGACGACUGCCCUAUGGGUUGUAAACUUCUUUUAUAUGGGAAUAAAGUUGUCCACGUGUGGAUUUUUGUAUGUACCAUAUGAAUAAGGAUCGGCUAACUCCGUGCCAGCAGCCGCGGUAAUACGGAGGAUCCGAGCGUUAUCCGGAUUUAUUGGGUUUAAAGGGAGCGUAGGCGGAUUGUUAAGUCAGUUGUGAAAGUUUGCGGCUCAACCGUAAAAUUGCAGUUGAUACUGGCAGUCUUGAGUGCAGUAGAGGUGGGCGGAAUUCGUGGUGUAGCGGUGAAAUGCUUAGAUAUCACGAAGAACUCCGAUUG